GUCCUGACCAAAUCUCGUGCCAGCAGUCGCGGUUAAACGAGGGGGGCAAGCGUUAAUCAUCUUAAAUAGGUCUAAAGGGUUGGUAGACAGCUUUAAAAGUCUUUAUGUAUACUUUAAAGCUAGAGUGGACUAGAAGAAAAUAGUACUUUAAAAGUAAGGAUAAAAUCUGAAUAAUUAAGGGACUUCCGUAAGCAAAGGCAUAUUUCUAUAGUUAUAACUGACGUUGAGCAACUAAAGCUAGGGUAGCCAAACGGAUUUGAUACCCGAGUAGUCCUAGCUAUAAACGAUGAGUGCUAGGUUAUAUUUAAUAUUACCGUAGUGAAGACAUUAAGCAUUCCACCUGGAGAGUACGUUCGCAAGGAUGAAAUCCAAGACAUUAGGCGGUUGUAGACGCAAGCAGUUAAGC
rnacentral:rRNA from 1 species